GGAUGAACGCUAGCUACAGGCUUAACACAUGCAAGUCGAGGGGCAGCGGGAUUGAAGCUUGCUUCAAUUGCCGGCGACCGGCGCACGGGUGAGUAACGCGUAUCCAACCUUCCGUACACUCAGGGAUAGCCCUUCGAAAGAAAGAUUAAUACCUGAUAGUAUCCUAAGCACACAUGUAAUUAAGAUUAAAGAUUUAUCGGUGUACGAUGGGGAUGCGUUCCAUUAGGUAGUAGGCGGGGUAACGGCCCACCUAGCCAACGAUGGAUAGGGGUUCUGAGAGGAAGGUCCCCCACAUUGGAACUGAGACACGGUCCAAACUCCUACGGGAGGCAGCAGUGAGGAAUAUUGGUCAAUGGACGAGAGUCUGAACCAGCCAAGUAGCGUGAAGGAUGAAGGUCCUACGGAUUGUAAACUUCUUUUAUAAGGGAAUAAACCCUCCCACGUGUGGGAGCUUGUAUGUACCUUAUGAAUAAGCAUCGGCUAACUCCGUGCCAGCAGCCGCGGUAAUACGGAGGAUGCGAGCGUUAUCCGGAUUUAUUGGGUUUAAAGGGAGCGCAGACGGGUCGUUAAGUCAGCUGUGAAAGUUUGGGGCUCAACCUUAAAAUUGCAGUUGAUACUGGCGUCCUUGAGUGCGGUUGAGGUGUGCGGAAUUCGUGGUGUAGCGGUGAAAUGCUUAGAUAUCACGAAGAACUCCGAUUGCGAAGGCAGCACACUAAUCCGUAACUGACGUUCAUGCUCGAAAGUGUGGGUAUCAAACAGGAUUAGAUACCCUGGUAGUCCACACGGUAAACGAUGGAUACUCGCUGUUGGCGAUAUACUGUCAGCGGCUUAGCGAAAGCGUUAAGUAUCCCACCUGGGGAGUACGCCGCCAACGGUG
rnacentral:rRNA from 1 species